GUGUCAGCAGCCGCGGUAAGACGAACCGUGCGAACGUUGUUCGGAAUCACUGGGCUUAAAGGGCGCGUAGGCGGAUUCCUCAGUCUGUGGUGAAAGCCUCCAGCUUAACUGGAGAAGUGCCGUGGAUACUGGGAGUCUUGAGGAGGGUAGGGGCAUCUGGAACAGCCGGUGGAGCGGUGAAAUGCGUUGAUAUCGGCUGGAACUCCGGUGGCGAAGGCGAGGUGCUGGACCCUUUCUGACGCUGAGGCGCGAAAGCCAGGGGAGCGAACGGGAUUAGAAACCCUUGUAGUCC
rnacentral:rRNA from 1 species